ACGAACGCUGGCGGCUGCUUAACACAUGCAAGUCGAACGGAGUGGCGAACGGGUGAGUAACGCGUGAGCAACCUGCCUAUGACAGUGGGAUAGCCUCGGGAAACCGGGAUUAAUACCGCAUAGUCAUAGAUGGGCUCGCGUCUGAUUAGCGAGUUGGUGAGAUAACAGCCCACCAAGGAGACGAUCAGUAGCCGGGCUGAGAGGAGGAACGGGCACAUUGGAACUGGGACACGGGCCAACCUCCUACGGGAGGCAGCAGUGGGGAAUAUUGCACAAUGGGUGAAACCCUGAGGCAGCGACGCCGCGUGAACGAAGAAGGUAUUCUUAUCGUAAAGUUCUGUCCUAUGGGAAGCAGUACCAUAGAAGAAAGCUCCGGCUAAAUACGUGCCAGCAGCCGCGGUAAUAC
rnacentral:rRNA from 1 species